UACGAAGGGGGCUAGCGUUGCUCGGAAUUACUGGGCGUAAAGCGCACGUAGGCGGUCUUUUAAGUCGGGGGUGAAAUCCUGGAGCUCAACUCCAGAACUGCCUUUGAUACUGAAGAUCUUGAGUUCGGGAGAGGUGAGUGGAACUGCGAGUGUAGAGGUGAAAUUCGUAGAUAUUCGCAAGAACACCAGUGGCGAAGGCGGCUCACUGGCCCGAUACUGACGCUGAGGUGCGAAAGCGUGGGGAGCAAACAGG
rnacentral:rRNA from 1 species